GGGUUGUGAGGUUAAGCGACUAAGCGUACACGGUGGAUGCCCUGGCAGUCAGAGGCGAUGAAGGACGUGCUAAUCUGCGAUAAGCGUCGGUAAGGUGAUAUGAACCGUUAUAACCGGCGAUUUCCGAAUGGGGAAACCCAGUGUGUUUCGACACACUAUCAUUAACUGAAUCCAUAGGUUAAUGAGGCGAACCGGGGGAACUGAAACAUCUAAGUACCCCGAGGAAAAGAAAUCAACCGAGAUUCCCCCAGUAGCGGCGAGCGAACGGGGAGCAGCCCAGAGCCUGAAUCAGUGUGUGUGUUAGUGGAAGCGUCUGGAAAGGCGCGCGAUACAGGGUGACAGCCCCGUACACAAAAAUGCACAUGCUGUGAGCUCGAUGAGUAGGGCGGGACACGUGGUAUCCUGUCUGAAUAUGGGGGGACCAUCCUCCAAGGCUAAAUACUCCUGACUGACCGAUAGUGAACCAGUACCGUGAGGGAAAGGCGAAAAGAACCCCGGCGAGGGGAGUGAAAAAGAACCUGAAACCGUGUACGUACAAGCAGUGGGAGCACGCUUAGGCGUGUGACUGCGUACCUUUUGUAUAAUGGGUCAGCGACUUAUAUUCUGUAGCAAGGUUAACCGAAUAGGGGAGCCGAAGGGAAACCGAGUCUUAACUGGGCGUUAAGUUGCAGGGUAUAGACCCGAAACCCGGUGAUCUAGCCAUGGGCAGGUUGAAGGUUGGGUAACACUAACUGGAGGACCGAACCGACUAAUGUUGAAAAAUUAGCGGAUGACUUGUGGCUGGGGGUGAAAGGCCAAUCAAACCGGGAGAUAGCUGGUUCUCCCCGAAAGCUAUUUAGGUAGCGCCUCGUGAAUUCAUCUCCGGGGGUAGAGCACUGUUUCGGCAAGGGGGUCAUCCCGACUUACCAACCCGAUGCAAACUGCGAAUACCGGAGAAUGUUAUCACGGGAGACACACGGCGGGUGCUAACGUCCGUCGUGAAGAGGGAAACAACCCAGACCGCCAGCUAAGGUCCCAAAGUCAUGGUUAAGUGGGAAACGAUGUGGGAAGGCCCAGACAGCCAGGAUGUUGGCUUAGAAGCAGCCAUCAUUUAAAGAAAGCGUAAUAGCUCACUGGUCGAGUCGGCCUGCGCGGAAGAUGUAACGGGGCUAAACCAUGCACCGAAGCUGCGGCAGCGACGCUUAUGCGUUGUUGGGUAGGGGAGCGUUCUGUAAGCCUGUGAAGGUGUGCUGUGAGGCAUGCUGGAGGUAUCAGAAGUGCGAAUGCUGACAUAAGUAACGAUAAAGCGGGUGAAAAGCCCGCUCGCCGGAAGACCAAGGGUUCCUGUCCAACGUUAAUCGGGGCAGGGUGAGUCGACCCCUAAGGCGAGGCCGAAAGGCGUAGUCGAUGGGAAACAGGUUAAUAUUCCUGUACUUGGUGUUACUGCGAAGGGGGGACGGAGAAGGCUAUGUUGGCCGGGCGACGGUUGUCCCGGUUUAAGCGUGUAGGCUGGUUUUCCAGGCAAAUCCGGAAAAUCAAGGCUGAGGCGUGAUGACGAGGCACUACGGUGCUGAAGCAACAAAUGCCCUGCUUCCAGGAAAAGCCUCUAAGCAUCAGGUAACAUCAAAUCGUACCCCAAACCGACACAGGUGGUCAGGUAGAGAAUACCAAGGCGCUUGAGAGAACUCGGGUGAAGGAACUAGGCAAAAUGGUGCCGUAACUUCGGGAGAAGGCACGCUGAUAUGUAGGUGAAGCGACUUGCUCGUGGAGCUGAAAUCAGUCGAAGAUACCAGCUGGCUGCAACUGUUUAUUAAAAACACAGCACUGUGCAAACACGAAAGUGGACGUAUACGGUGUGACGCCUGCCCGGUGCCGGAAGGUUAAUUGAUGGGGUUAGCGCAAGCGAAGCUCUUGAUCGAAGCCCCGGUAAACGGCGGCCGUAACUAUAACGGUCCUAAGGUAGCGAAAUUCCUUGUCGGGUAAGUUCCGACCUGCACGAAUGGCGUAAUGAUGGCCAGGCUGUCUCCACCCGAGACUCAGUGAAAUUGAACUCGCUGUGAAGAUGCAGUGUACCCGCGGCAAGACGGAAAGACCCCGUGAACCUUUACUAUAGCUUGACACUGAACAUUGAGCCUUGAUGUGUAGGAUAGGUGGGAGGCUUUGAAGUGUGGACGCCAGUCUGCAUGGAGCCGACCUUGAAAUACCACCCUUUAAUGUUUGAUGUUCUAACGUGGACCCGUGAUCCGGGUUGCGGACAGUGUCUGGUGGGUAGUUUGACUGGGGCGGUCUCCUCCUAAAGAGUAACGGAGGAGCACGAAGGUUGGCUAAUCCUGGUCGGACAUCAGGAGGUUAGUGCAAUGGCAUAAGCCAGCUUGACUGCGAGCGUGACGGCGCGAGCAGGUGCGAAAGCAGGUCAUAGUGAUCCGGUGGUUCUGAAUGGAAGGGCCAUCGCUCAACGGAUAAAAGGUACUCCGGGGAUAACAGGCUGAUACCGCCCAAGAGUUCAUAUCGACGGCGGUGUUUGGCACCUCGAUGUCGGCUCAUCACAUCCUGGGGCUGAAGUAGGUCCCAAGGGUAUGGCUGUUCGCCAUUUAAAGUGGUACGCGAGCUGGGUUUAGAACGUCGUGAGACAGUUCGGUCCCUAUCUGCCGUGGGCGCUGGAGAACUGAGGGGGGCUGCUCCUAGUACGAGAGGACCGGAGUGGACGCAUCACUGGUGUUCGGGUUGUCAUGCCAAUGGCACUGCCCGGUAGCUAAAUGCGGAAGAGAUAAGUGCUGAAAGCAUCUAAGCACGAAACUUGCCCCGAGAUGAGUUCUCCCUGACUCCUUGAGAGUCCUGAAGGAACGUUGAAGACGACGACGUUGAUAGGCCGGGUGUGUAAGCGCAGCGAUGCGUUGAGCUAACCGGUACUAAUGAACCGUGAGGCUUAACCUUACAACGCCGAAG
rnacentral:rRNA from 1 species